UCCUUGCUUUCCUGAAAUACUGGUGAAGAUGUGGAUAAAAGGAAACUCUCAUGCAUUGUUGAUGGAUUUGCAAAUGGUGCAGCCUCUAUGGAAAACAGU